CAACUCGUCUACAUGAAGUCGGAAUCGCUAGUAAUCGCGGAUCAGCAUGCCGCGGUGAAUACGUUCCCGGGCCUUGUACACACCGCCCGUCACACCAUGAGAGUUUGUAACACCCAAAGCCGGUGGGGUAACCUUUUGGAGCCAGCCGUCUAAGGUGGGACAGAUGAUUGGGGUGAAGUCGUAACAAGGUAAC
rnacentral:rRNA from 1 species